rnacentral:rRNA from 1 species
UACGUAGGGGGCUAGCGUUGUCCGGAAUCAUUGGGCGUAAAGCGCGUGUAGGCGGUCCGGUAAGUCCGCUGUGAAAGUCGAGGGCUCAACCCUCGAAUGCCGGUGGAUACUGUCGGGCUUGAGUACGGGAGAGGCGAGUGGAAUUCCCGGUGUAGCGGUGAAAUGCGCAGAUAUCGGGAGGAACACCUAUGGCGAAGGCAGCUCGCUGGGACGUUACUGACGCUGAGACGCGAAAGCGUGGGGAGCAAACAGG